rnacentral:rRNA from 1 species
UGUGACGGUAUCUUACCAGAAAGGGACGGCUAACUACGUGCCAGCAGCCGCGGUAAUACGUAGGUCCCGAGCGUUAUCCGGAUUUAUUGGGCGUAAAGCGAGCGCAGGCGGUUAGAUAAGUCUGAAGUUAAAGGCUGUGGCUUAACCAUAGUAUGCUUUGGAAACUGUUUAACUUGAGUGCAGAAGGGGAGAGUGGAAUUCCAUGUGUAGCGGUGGAAUGCGUAGAUAUAUGGAGGAACACCGGUGGCGAAAGCGGCUCUCUGGUCUGUAACUGACGCUGAGGCUCGAAAGCGUGGGUAGCGAACAGGAUUAGAUACCCUGGUAGUCCACGCCGUAAACGAUGAGUGCUAGGUGUUAGGCCCUAUCCGGGGCUUAGUGCCGGAGCUAACGCAUUAAGCACUCCGCCUGGGGAGUACGACCGCAAGGUUGAAACUCAAAGGAAUUGACGGGGGCCCGCACAAGCGGUGGAGCAUGUGGUUUAAUUCGAAGCAACGCGAAGAACCUUACCAGGUCUUGACAUCCCAGUGACCGUCCUAGAGAUAGGGCUUUUCUUCGGAACACUGGUGACAGGUGGUGCAUGGUUGUCGUCAGCUCGUGUCGUGAGAUGUUGGGUUAAGUCCCGCAACGAGCGCAACCCUUAUUGUUAGUUGCCAUCAUUAAGUUGGGCACUCUAGCGAGACUGCCGGUAAUAAACCGGAGGAAGGUGGGGAUGACGUCAAAUCAUCAUGCCCCUUAUGACCUGGGCUACACACGUGCUACAAUGGCUGGUACAACGAGCUGCAAGUCGGUGACGGCAAGCAAAUCUCUUAAAGCCAGUCUCAGUUCGGAUUGUAGGCUGCAACUCGCCUACAUGAAGUCGGAAUCGCUAGUAAUCGCGGAUCAGCACGCCGCGGUGAAUACGUUCCCGGGCCUUGUACACACCGCCCGUCACACCACGAGAGUUUGUAACACCCGAAGUCGGUGAGGUAACCGUUUAGAGCCAGCCGCCUAAGGUGGGAUAGAUGAUUGGGGUGAAGUCGUAACAAGGUAGCCGUAUCGGAAGGUGCGGCUGGAUCACCUCCUUU